GAUGAACGCUGGCGGCGUGCCUAAUACAUGCAAGUCGAACGCACAGCGAAAGGUGCUUGCACCUUUCAAGUGAGUGGCGAACGGGUGAGUAACACGUGGACAACCUGCCUCAAGGCUGGGGAUAACAUUUGGAAACAGAUGCUAAUACCGAAUAAAACUCAGUGUCGCAUGACACAAAGUUAAAAGGCGCUUUGGCGUCACCUAGAGAUGGAUCCGCGGUGCAUUAGUUAGUUGGUGGGGUAAAGGCCCACCAAGACAAUGAUGCAUAGCCGAGUUGAGAGACUGAUCGGCCACAUUGGGACUGAGACACGGCCCAAGCUCCUACGGGAGGCUGCAGUAGGGAAUCUUCCACAAUGGGCGAAAGCCUGAUGGAGCAACGCCGCGUGUGUGAUGAAGGCUUUCGGGUCGUAAAGCACUGUUGUAUGGGAAGAACAGCUAGAAUAGGGAAUGAUUUUAGUUUGACGGUACCAUACCAGAAAGGGACGGCUAAAUACGUGCCAGCCGCCGCAGUAA
rnacentral:rRNA from 1 species